rnacentral:rRNA from 1 species
GUAGGUGGCAAGCGUUGUCCGGAAUUAUUGGGCGUAAAGCGCGCGCAGGCGGUUCUUUAAGUCUGAUGCGAAAGCCCACGGCUCAACCGUGGAGGGUCAUUGGAAACUGGAGAACUUGAGUACAGAAGAGGAAAGCGGAAUUCCACGUGUAGCGGUGAAAUGCGUAGAGAUGUGGAGGAACACCAGUGGCGAAGGCGGCUUUCUGGUCUGUAACUGACGCUGAGGCGCGAAAGCGUGGGGAGCAAACAGGGAUUAGAUACCCUGGUAGUCCACGCCGUAAACGAUGAGUGCUAAGUGUUAGGGGGUUUCCGCCCCCUUAGUGCUGCAGCUAACGCAUUAAGCACUCCGCCUGGGGAGUACGGCCGCAAGGCUG